GUUUCGCUAGAGAAUGAAAGCGUCGCAGUCCUUCAGGAAGUUGAGAAGCUCAAACUGGCCAUUCCCCUUUCGAUCUCGUUCGGGAUGAAAGGACUGUACUACGCCCCCAAGUUGGCCAAUGAGGCGUCACCGAAAGAGGAGGAGUUCGCGCUGUUUAAACCAUGCAAGGAUUUUGCUUCGGCUAAGUUCGACCACCCUAAGGAGGUGUGCCGUAAGAGCGGCUGGGUAGCGCCGAAGUACUUGCCUACACAUGCCCACAAUUUGGCCGAAAAGAGAACGAUCACCUAUCUGACCGAGGCAAUUGUAGCUU